rnacentral:misc_RNA from 1 species
UUUCUCUCUUUUCUUGCUACGAGCUGCUGGUUUUCUUUUGCCCUGUUACAUCAUGGCUUGGGCCAUCAGCAUCUUGCAACGUCGAAGGCAAAGACAGGUUGGUAUCUACUUCAGUUCUAAUCUUUUAUGUUCAUCAUUAUGCAAAAAUCUGUAUAAUUUGAUGAUACAGGAGGCUGCAGCAUUGGCGGCAACACAAGUUGCUUUUGUGCUUCAAUCGGGCCAACAUAGGGGUCUGCAGUUCACAAUAGCCUCAGGACCUCAUGUAGCUCCACACCAGGAUCCUGUUUAACUAUGAAAAACCGAGGGAGAGGAUAAGUUGAAGAGAAUUCCCAAUUAAUAAUGUUUGUAUUUUAAACAAUAUCCCCCCUUCUUCUCGGGGCUAAAAAAAAAAAAAGUGUGAAUCAUGAUCUCGAUUGGCAUACUUUAUCUUGUUUCCUUUCCAUAAGAUGUACAUAUGACCAUAUUUCCAAUGUAUUUUUAACUUUUUUUUUUUUUGUAA